CCAGACGUCGCUUCUCCCGGGCUCCCGGUGUCGGCUCCGCGCGGAGGGAGAGGAAAUGAGUGCGGCGGCAUCGGCGGCGUCGGAGCGGGGUUGGAAGAGCGAGAAACUAGAUGAGGCUCAGGCCCUGGCGCGGAGUUGCGCCGCCCGCAGACCCGACUUCUUGGCGACAGCCGUUGGGGAUGCCUUUUUUCAAGGUUGCUGGUUAAAGAUGCUCCUCUUUUUCUUUCUCACUUUUGUCUUCCUGGGCUGCUAUUUAAAAGACCAGAUGUAGAAUUUAAAGCCAAAUAAAUGAGACUUAUAAAAUUACAAAAUAAAAUGAGUGAAAGUAAGCUUAAUAGUCUUAAACCAAUUUAUAAAAGCUAGAACCAAAUGGUCUAAACCCUUUCUCUGUGUUUAGCCUCCUGCCUGUGAUUUUUAAAUAGAUUAAACUUAAGUAGCCAUUUAAUUAGAAUUUCACAAUUUGAUUAGCUAAUAGUAUUUGGACUAUAUCCGAUGAAUCAUUCCUUUUAAGAAAUAUAUUCUAAAGUUAGUUUCCACAUAUAUUUAUAAUAGAGGGUUUUGGAGUGCUUAUUUAGGACAUUUUCCAAGUGAUCUUAAGUUAAAAUGAAUUUUUCUUUGUUGAGA
rnacentral:lncRNA from 1 species